rnacentral:rRNA from 2 species
CAGUGGGGAAUAUUGCACAAUGGGCGCAAGCCUGAUGCAGCCAUGCCGCGUGUAUGAAGAAGGCCUUCGGGUUGUAAAGUACUUUCAGCGGGGAGGAAGGUGUUGUGGUUAAUAACCGCAGCAAUUGACGUUACCCGCAGAAGAAGCACCGGCUAACUCCGUGCCAGCAGCCGCGGUAAUACGGAGGGUGCAAGCGUUAAUCGGAAUUACUGGGCGUAAAGCGCACGCAGGCGGUCUGUCAAGUCGGAUGUGAAAUCCCCGGGCUCAACCUGGGAACUGCAUUCGAAACUGGCAGGCUUGAGUCUUGUAGAGGGGGGUAGAAUUCCAGGUGUAGCGGUGAAAUGCGUAGAGAUCUGGAGGAAUACCGGUGGCGAAGGCGGCCCCCUGGACAAAGACUGA